CUCAUAAUGCCUGAAGAGGUUCCAGGGAAUACUGCAAUGCCCAAAGAGAAUACCCCAACCUCAGCAUCUCUCCUCAAAACAUCACCAGUCAUUAACAAAACUGACUUCAUAAAAGGUCAGGCACUCCGCCAGCCAUCCGUCUCCGUCAACGUUGUUCGCUCCCAUCCUUCUGGACUCACUGUCCGCGCCAGCUCCUACGCUGAUGAGCUCGUCAAAACCGCG
rnacentral:misc_RNA from 1 species